ACUCCUACGGGAGGGCAGCAGUGGGGAAUCUUGGACAAUGGGGGCAACCCUGAUCCAGCCAUGCCGCGUGAGUGAUGAAGGCCCUAGGGUCGUAAAGCUCUUUCGCCUGUGAAGAUAAUGACUGGUAGCAGGUAAAGAAACCCCGGCUAACUUCCGUGCCAGCAGCCGCGGUAAUACGGAGGGGUUAGCGUUGUUCGGAAUUACUGGGCGUAAAGCGCGCGUAGGCGGACUGGAAAGUUGGGGGUGAAAUCCCAGGGCUCAACCCUGGAACUGCCUCCAAAACUAUCAGUCUAGAGUUCGAGAGAGGUGAGUGGAAUUCCGAGUGUAGAGGUGAAAUUCGUAGAUAUUCGGAGGAACACCAGUGGCGAAGGCGGCUCACUGGCUCGAUACUGACGCUGAGGUGCGAAAGUGUGGGGAGCAAACAGGAUUAGAUACCCUGGUAGGCUCUGC
rnacentral:rRNA from 1 species